rnacentral:rRNA from 1 species
CACGUAGGGCGCGAGCGUUGUCCGGAAUUAUUGGGCGUAAAGAGCUCGUAGGCGGCCCUCCUUGUCGCGUGUGAAAGCCCCGGGCUCAACCUGGGAAUUGCGCGCGAAACGGGGGGGCUUGAGUUCGGGAGAGGAGCGUGGAAUUCCCAGUGUAGAGGUGAAAUUUGUAGAUAUUGGGAAGAACACCGGUGGCGAAGGCGGCGCUCUGGACCGAGACUGACGCUGAGGCGCGAAAGCGUGGGGAGCAAACAGG